rnacentral:rRNA from 1 species
UACAGAGGUCUCAAGCGUUGUUCGGAUUCAUUGGGCGUAAAGGGUGCGUAGGCGGCGCGGUAAGUCGGGGGUGAAAUCUCGGAGCUUAACUCCGAAACUGCAUUCGAUACUGCCGUGCUUGAGGACUGGAGAGGAGAGUGGAAUUUACGGUGUAGCGGUGAAAUGCGUAGAUAUCGUAAGGAAGACCAGUGGCGAAGGCGGGUCUCUGGACAGUUCCUGACGCUGAGGCACGAAGGUCAGGGGAGCAAACGGG